UACGUAGGAGGCGAGCGUUGUCCGGAAUUAUUGGGCGUAAAGAGCUCGUAGGCGGUCUGUCGCGUCGGCUGUGAAAACCCGGAGCUCAACUCCGGGCCUGCAGUCGAUACGGGCAGACUGGAGUUCGGCAGGGGAGACUGGAAUUCCUGGUGUAGCGGUGAAAUGCGCAGAUAUCAGGAGGAACACCGGUGGCGAAGGCGGGUCUCUGGGCCGAUACUGACGCUGAGGAGCGAAAGCGUGGGGAGCGAACAGG
rnacentral:rRNA from 1 species